GCGUGGUUGGAGUAGUGGUUAACUCAUUGCCCUCCCAUCAUCGGCAAAGGCAGAAAGUAGGUCAAUAUCUCUCCCCAAUACGGAAUUUCGCUGACCAAACAGCACUGGUUCGAACCCGGUGCCGCGCA
rnacentral:tRNA from 1 species